UCACGUGUUUUUGCCUUUAAAAUAAAACUCCACCCACCGGAGCGCGUUUUCAUGCUCACUGUUCUAUCUAGAAAUAUAAGUCAAUGGGUUAAUCUGGCUAAGUGUUGGUAAAUCUGAUCUGAUUUUUUUUUUGUUAUUAGUUCUAAGAGAACUGUUAUGUGCUCUUACGUGAUAGGGUAAUAAUUUUGUUCGGACUGAUCAGUGAGCGUGCAAUUAUAAUCAUCA